rfam:Flavobacteriaceae bacterium TJ101, complete genome.
AAGGAGGUAACUGAAAAUCCUAUUUAAUAGAGUAGGUA